rnacentral:rRNA from 1 species
ACUGCUCAGUAACACGUAGUUAAUCUGCCCUUAGGCCAGGCAUACCCUCGGGAAACUGAGGUUAAUUCCUGAUAAGAGUUUUUUUCUGGAAAGAAUGAACUUACAAAUUCGCGCCUAAGGAUGAGACUGCGGCUGAUUAGGUAGUUGGCGGGGUAAUAGCCCACCAAGCCAAUGAUCAGUAAGGGCCCUUAGCGGGGGCGCCCUGAGAGGGAAUCUGAGACACUAUUCCCAGCUCUACGGAGUGCAGCAGCUAUGAAUCUUCUGCAAUGCGCGAAAGCGUGACAGAGCGAGUCAAAGUGUUUAUCUUUUUGAUAAACUUUUGCCAGCUGUAAAAAUGCUGGCGAAUAAGGACUGGGCAAGACCGGUGCCAGCCGCCGCGGUAAUCCCGGCAGUUCAAGUCGCAACCAACAUUAUUGGGUCUAAAACAUCCGUAGCUUGUUAUGCAAGUCUCUUGUGAAAUCUGAUAUCUUAAGUAUCAGGCGCGCAGGAGGUACUACAUGACUAGAGACCGGUAGGUGUAAGAAGUACGCUUAAGGUAGUAGUAAAAUACGUUAAUCUUAAGUGGACUCACAAUUAGCGAAGGCAUCUUACAAGGACGGAUCUGACAGUGAGGGAUGAAGGCCAAGGGCGCAAUAGGGAUUAGAUACCCCUGUAGUCUUGGCAGUAAACACUGCUCACUAAACAUCGGGGCCUCUUCGGGAGGUUUCGGUGCUGAAGGGAAGCUGAAAAGUGAGCUACCUGGGAAGUAUAGUCGCAAGAUCGAAACUUAAAGGAAUUGGCGGGGGAGCAC